AGUUUAAAUCUUGUUAAUAAAUAUUUAGUUUAAAUAUUUUUAAAUGAAAAAUAAUUUUUAAUUAUAGUAAAGUAAUUUUUAAUGAAAAAAAACUAUAACUAUAAAGUAUAAGUACUGUAAGGGAAAGAUAUAUAGGAUGCAAAAAGAAGUAUAAAUAAAAUUUAGUACCUUGUGUAUUAGGGAUAAUUUAUAUAGCUAAAAUAAUAUUUAGAUCUCGAAAUAAAAAUAGUUAAUUUUAUAAUAGAGUUUUUAUGGGAUAUAAAUUUUGAAUAGAGAAUUAAAGAUGAUAUGUUAAACGAGUUUUAUAAUAUCUAGUUUUUUGAAAGAAAAAUUUAAUUUGGUUUUUAUAUCUUUAAUAAUAUAAGGAGAUAAAAUAGAAAGGGCAAGCUUUUUAUUGUAGGAAGUGGAAUAGUAGAAUAUAAAUUAUAUUAUAAUCUAAGCUUAAAAAUAGCUAUGUUUAUAAAGUGUUUUAAUUAAUUUCUUAUUUUUAAAAAUAUAUGUGUAUACUUUUCUUUAAUAUCAAAAAUUUAUUUCGAAUAAGAUAUAAUAAGAUAAAAUGAUUUUAUUAGUAUAGGAAUUAAUUGUAAUAACAGAAGAAUAAAAUAUUUUAAAAAAUUAUUAAUAUAAAACAAUAAAUUAAAGGAAUUCAGCAAAAUUUUUCUUGCCUGUUUAUCAAAAACAUGUCUAUUUGAAGAUAUAAAAAGUCUGACCUGCCCACUGAUUGAAAAUAUAAAAAUUUAAGGGCCGCGGUAUUAUGACCGUGCAAAGGUAGCAUAAUCAUUAGGUUUUUAAAUGAGAUCUUGUAUGAAUGGUUUGACAAAGGAAAAACUGUCUUUAAAUUAAUAUUUUGAAUUUAACUUUUAAGUGAGAAGGCUUAAAUAUUUUAGAGGGACGAUAAGACCCUAUAAAGCUUUAUAUUAUAAUUGUAUUUAAUUAAAUUUAUAUAUAAAAAUUUUAUGUAAUUAUUUAUUUUGUUGGGGAGACAUUAGCAAAAAUUAUAUUAACUGCUUAAGAAACAAACAUAUAUCAAUGAAAAAUUGUAGAUCCUAGAUAUAGAUUUAAAGAUUAAGUUACUUUAGGGAUAACAGUGUAAUUUUUUUUGAGAGUUCUUAUCGAAAAAAAAGUUUGCAACCUCGAUGUUGAAUUAAAUUACCUAUAUAAUGCAGUUAUUAUAUAAGAUGGUCUGUUCGACCUUUAAUUUUUU
rnacentral:rRNA from 1 species